rnacentral:rRNA from 1 species
UACAGAGGUCUCAAGCGUUGUUCGGAUUCAUUGGGCGUAAAGGGCGCGUAGGCGGUGGGGUAAGUCUGGUGUGAAAUCUCGGAGCUCAACUUCGAAAUUGCACUGGAUACUGCUCUGCUAGAGGGCUGGAGAGGAGAUCGGAAUUCACGGUGUAGCAGUGAAAUGCGUAGAUAUCGUGAGGAAGACCAGUGGCGAAGGCGGGUUGCUGGGCUGACGACUGACGCUGAUGCGCGAAAGCCAGGGGAGCGAACGGG